AUUUUCUUCUUUAAGCUCUGAGCCAAAAUAGCAGAAGCUACUUGUCUUUGUAUUUGUAGUAAGACAGCAGAGAAAACACAAGAAGAAAAUAAUUCAAGCAUGG
rnacentral:snoRNA from 1 species